CUCACCUCGCAAACAUUCAAAAGGUAUUAUUAUGUUCUUCUCUUACGACUUCUAAGAUUUAUAUUCAGGUUUGUGUUUGAGUAUAGCAUGGAGGAUAUUCUUGUCAGGAGGGUCAUUCCCUCAGACAACAACUGCCUCUUCAAUGCGAUCGAAUACGUUAUGGAUCAUGACAAACAGAAAGCUCCUGAACUAAGACAGGUCCUAGUCAUAUAUCUUUACUACCCUCUACCAUUUUUCCUGUAAAUGUAAUCUCCUUCAUUAUUCGGUGUUCAUUCAUAACGGUGAAACUAGACAAUUUGAAUACAAUUUUCACUUGAGUAUUACUGA